rnacentral:rRNA from 1 species
UACGUAGGGACCAAGCGUUGUUCGGAUUUACUGGGCGUAAAGGGCGCGUAGGCGGCGUGUUAAGUCAGCUGUGAAAUCUCCAAGCUUAACUUGGAACGGUCAGCUGAUACUGAUGCGCUAGAGUGCAGAAGGGGCAAUCGGAAUUCUUGGUGUAGCGGUGAAAUGCGUAGAUAUCAAGAGGAACACCUGAGGUGAAGACGGGUUGCUGGGCUGACACUGACGCUGAGGCGCGAAAGCUAGGGUAGCAAACGGG